GACAGAAGGCGUUUUGGUCGAUCCAUUCU
rnacentral:sRNA from 1 species